rnacentral:rRNA from 1 species
CCUACGUGGGACAGCAGUGAGGAAUAUUGGUCAAUGUGCGCGAGCCUGAACCAGCCAAGUAGCGUGAAGGAUGACUGCCCUACGGGUUGUAAACUUCUUUUAUAAAGGAAUAAAGUGAGGCACGUGUGCCUUUUUGUAUGUACUUUAUGAAUAAGGAUCGGCUAACUCCGUGCCAGCAGCCGCGGUAAUACGGAGGAUCCGAGCGUUAUCCGGAUUUAUUGGGUUUAAAGGGAGCGUAGAUGGGUUGUUAAGUCAGUUGUGAAAGUUUGCGGCUCAACCGUAAAAUUGCAAUUGAUACUGGCAGUCUUGAGUACAGUUGAGGUAGGCGGAAUUCGUGGUGUAGCGGUGAAAUGCUUAGAUAUCACGAAGAACUCCGAUUGCGAAGGCAGCUUACUAAACUGCCACUGACAUUGAUGCUCGAAAGUGUGGGUAUCAAACAGGAUUAGAUACCCCGGUAGUC